GUGAGGUCUUACAAGUUGAACAACAUUUCUAUGUAUAAUAAUAAUAAUGGUGACCAGUUCACACAAAAUAUGCUUGUGUACAACAUGUCAUGUUCCAUACAAACUAUAUUUACAAGUUCUGGAAUACUCUUUUAAAACAAAAAAGAAAAGCUUACAUUUUUUGUAAUGAUGCCACUCACAUCAACCUUCAACGCAGAGUGCCCACGGGCCUUUUGUAAGUAUACCAUUUCGCGAUCACGAGAUAAACUCCCAAAUUCAGUACACUAAGCACAGCCAAAAGAUAGUAAAAGUAAUCAAUGUGACCGUAGUUCAGGUUAUCCGGUAUCCAGCCAGGUUUCCCAUUCUUGGUUGUAAUGUUCAUGACAAUAGUCACAAGCAUAGAACUCAAGUAACUCCCAAGUGCAAUCGUGGUCAGUGAUAAAGCGGAACACAAACUUCUCAUGGCAUCAGGUGCUUGCUCGUAGAAGAACUCCAACUGACCGAUUAAUGUGAAGACUUCUGCACAACCUAUAAGGAAGUAUUGUGGAACCUGCCAAAAGAUUGUCAUGGGGACCUCUUCCAGUUCAUAGUAGUUAUGCCUUUUCACAUAUUUUAGCCGAUACAACUCCAGAAUCCCGGCAAAUAACAUGGCAAAGAUGGAUAUGAAGAGGCCUAUACCCAUUCUUUGUAGUUGUGUUAAGCCAUUCUUGUGACCUGUUAUCUUCCUAGCAAUUGGGACAAUGAUUUGGUCAUAGAUGGGAACCCAGAAUAUGACACUGAGGGUGUCGAAAAUGCUGAGUGAUGCUGGUGGAAUUUUGAAGCUGGAAUUUCCCACGCGAGUGUCCAUGGCCGCUCCUUGCAACACAAACAAGGUACUCAUUUGACCAUAUACAGUACUAAAUAUGAUACCCGUAGCCCAUAUAGGUAGCAGCCGUAUAAUGGAUUUGAGCUCCUCAACUUGAGUCAC
rnacentral:misc_RNA from 1 species